UACAGUGACCAGAGGCCAAACGAUGAGCUGCCGAGGUUCCUUUGUGCCAUCAGCCCUACAGAAUUACUGCCAGCUUCUACUGUCGGCACGUCCGUCGUUACUUUUAGGCUUGAAACGGCCUCGGAUGUUUGGUUCCACUGCUCUGAAGGCUGCACAUCAUCACUAAAGGUGCUACAGUGAUCAGAGGCCAAAUGGACUGCUGUGAGAAAGGACCAACGUGGAGAUGUGAAGAUCAAAUGUUUCAAAAAGAUUUUUAAAUGUUUUAUUCAAAUAAAAGAGAAAAAAAAAACAA